rfam:Triticum aestivum genome assembly, contig: Triticum_aestivum_CS42_TGACv1_scaffold_374015_5AL
GUAGUACUCCCUCCGUCCGGAAUUACUCGUCGGAGAAAUAGAUAAAAGUGGAUGUAUCUAAAACUAAAAUGCAUCUAGAUACAUCCAUUCCUCCGACAAGUAUUUUCGGAGGAGGGAGUAUACA